rnacentral:rRNA from 1 species
UACGUAGGGUGCAAGCGUUGUCCGGAAUUAUUGGGCGUAAAGAGCUCGUAGGCGGUCUGUCGCGUCUGCUGUGAAAACUCAGGGCUUAACCCUGAGCUUGCAGUGGGUACGGGCAGACUAGAGUGCGGUAGGGGAGACUGGAAUUCCUGGUGUAGCGGUGAAAUGCGCAGAUAUCAGGAGGAACACCGGUGGCGAAGGCGGGUCUCUGGGCAGUAACUGACGUGAGGAGCGAAAGCGUGGGGAGCGAACAGG